rnacentral:rRNA from 1 species
CCUACGGGAGGCAGCAGUGGGGGAUAUUGCACAAUGGGGGAAACCCUGAUGCAGCGACGCCGCGUGUGGGAAGACGGUCCUCUGGAUUGUAAACCACUGUCCCCAGGGACGAAGAUGACGGUACCUGGGGAGGAAGCUCCGGCUAACUACGUGCCAGCAGCCGCGGUAAUACGUAGGGAGCGAGCGUUGUCCGGAAUUACUGGGUGUAAAGGGAGCGUAGGCGGGGAUGCAAGUUGGGUGUCAAAACUACCGGCUCAACUGGUAGUCGCACUCAAAACUGCAGCUCUUGAGUGAAGUAGAGGGAGGCGGAAUUCGUGGUGUAGGGGGGAAAGGCGUAGAUAUUAGGAGGAACACAGGGGGGGAAGGGGGCCUGUUGGCUUUUUACUGACGCGGAGGCCCGAAAGUGUGGGGAGAAAACAGGAUUAGAUCCCCGGGUAGGC